rnacentral:rRNA from 1 species
GACGAACGCUGGCGGCGUGCCUAAUACAUGCAAGUCGAGCGAAUCAUGAGGAGCUUGCUCCUUUUGGUUAGCGGCGGACGGGUGAGUAACACGUGGGCAACCUGCCUGUAAGACUGGGAUAACUUCGGGAAACCGGAGCUAAUACCGGAUAAUCCUUUUCCUCUCAUGAGGAAAAGCUGAAAGUCGGUUUACGCUGACACUUACAGAUGGGCCCGCGGCGCAUUAGCUAGUUGGUGAGGUAACGGCUCACCAAGGCGACGAUGCGUAGCCGACCUGAGAGGGUGAUCGGCCACACUGGGACUGAGACACGGCCCAGACUCCUACGGGAGGCAGCAGUAGGGAAUCUUCCGCAAUGGACGAAAGUCUGACGGAGCAACGCCGCGUGAGCGAUGAAGGCCUUCGGGUCGUAAAGCUCUGUUGUUAGGGAAGAACAAGUAUCGGAGUAACUGCCGGUACCUUGACGGUACCUAACCAGAAAGCCACGGCUAACUACGUGCCAGCAGCCGCGGUAAAAC